AGUGAACGCUGGCGGUAGGCCUAACACAUGCAAGUCGAACGGCAGCACAGUAAGAGCUUGCUCUUACGGGUGGCGAGUGGCGGACGGGUGAGGAAUACAUCGGAAUCUACUUUUUCGUGGGGGAUAACGUAGGGAAACUUACGCUAAUACCGCAUACGACCUACGGGUGAAAGCAGGGGAUCUUCGGACCUUGCGCGAUUGAAUGAGCCGAUGUCGGAUUAGCUAGUUGGCGGGGUAAAGGCCCACCAAGGCGACGAUCCGUGGCUGGUCUGAGAGGAUGAGCAGCCACACUGGAACUGAGACACGGUCCAGACUCCUACGGGAGGCAGCAGUGGGGAAUAUUGGACAAUGGGCGCAAGCCUGAUCCAGCCAUACCGCGUGGGUGAAGAAGGCCUUCGGGUUGUAAAGCCCUUUUGUUGGGAAAGAAAAGCAGCAGGUUAAUACCCCGCUGUUCUGACGGUACCCAAAGAAUAAGCACCGGCUAACUUCGUG
rnacentral:rRNA from 1 species